rnacentral:tRNA from 1 species
ACCCCGUUAGCUCAGUUGGUAGAGCAUCAGACUUUUAAUCUGAGGGCCAUGGGUUCGAGUCCCAUAUCGGGCU